GACGAACUUUGGCGGCGUGCUUAACACAUGCAAGUCGAACGGAAAGGCCCUGCUUUUGUGGGGUGCUCGAGUGGCGAACGGGUGAGUAACACGUGAGUAACCUGCCCUUGACUUUGGGAUAACUUCAGGAAACUGGGGCUAAUACCGGAUAGGAGCUCCUGCUGCAUGGUGGGGGUUGGAAAGUUUCGGCGGUUGGGGAUGGACUCGCGGCUUAUCAGCUUGUUGGUGGGGUAGUGGCUUACCAAGGCUUUGACGGGUAGCCGGCCUGAGAGGGUGACCGGCCACAUUGGGACUGAGAUACGGCCCAGACUCCUACGGGAGGCAGCAGUGGGGAAUAUUGCACAAUGGGCGGAAGCCUGAUGCAGCAACGCCGCGUGCGGGAUGACGGCCUUCGGGUUGUAAACCGCUUUCGCCUGUGACGAAGCGUGAGUGACGGUAAUGGGUAAAGAAGCACCGGCUAACUACGUGCCAGCAGCCGCGGUGAUACGUAGGGUGCGAGCGUUGUCCGGAUUUAUUGGGCGUAAAGGGCUCGUAGGUGGUUGAUCGCGUCGGAAGUGUAAUCUUGGGGCUUAACCCUGAGCGUGCUUUCGAUACGGGUUGACUUGAGGAAGGUAGGGGAGAAUGGAAUUCCUGGUGGAGCGGUGGAAUGCGCAGAUAUCUGGAGGAACACCAGUGGCGAAGGCGGUUCUCUGGGCCUUUCCUGACGCUGAGGAGCGAAAGCGUGGGGAGCGAACAGGCUUAGAUACCCUGGUAGUCCACGCUGUAAACGGUGGGUACUAGGUGUGGGGUCCAUUCCACGGGUUCCGUGCCGUAGCUAACGCUUUAAGUACCCCGCCUGGGGAGUACGGCCGCAAGGCUAAAACUCAAAGGAAUUGACGGGGCCCCGCACAAGCGGCGGAGCAUGCGGAUUAAUUCGAUGCAACGCGUAGAACCUUACCUGGGUUUGACAUGGAUCGGGAGUGCUCAGAGAUGGGUGUGCCUCUUUUGGGGUCGGUUCACAGGUGGUGCAUGGCUGUCGUCAGCUCGUGUCGUGAGAUGUUGGGUUAAGUCCCGCAACGAGCGCAACCCUUGUUCACUGUUGCCAGCACGUUAUGGUGGGGACUCAGUGGAGACCGCCGGGGUCAACUCGGAGGAAGGUGGGGAUGACGUCAAGUCAUCAUGCCCCUUAUGUCCAGGGCUUCACGCAUGCUACAAUGGCUGGUACAGAGAGUGGCGAGCCUGUGAGGGUGAGCGAAUCUCGGAAAGCCGGUCUCAGUUCGGAUUGGGGUCUGCAACUCGACCUCAUGAAGUCGGAGUCGCUAGUAAUCGCAGAUCAGCAACGCUGCGGUGAAUACGUUCCCGGGGCU
rnacentral:rRNA from 1 species